UGACACACCAGUUCUAAAAAA
rnacentral:piRNA from 1 species